ensembl:lncRNA
GAGGGCCCCCAACACACAUGUAAUUAAUGAGUAUCUCCUCUCCGCCAAGCACUUUCUAACAGCUGAGCAUAUUUCAGUGAGCAAAACAAAGGCCCCUGCUCCAGGGAGCUUACAUUCCAUUUGGAGCAGUUAGAGGGAAGACAGGGAGAGGAGGGAGGAGUCAGGCAACUGAAAAAACAAACAAGCAAAUUAUAUUAAGAAAAUAUGCUUGAUGGCAAGAGGUGCUAUGCCAAACAAGAAAGCAAGAAAGGGCUUCCCAGGGGGUCCAGUGACACAGAAUCUGCCUGCCGAUACAGGGUACAUGAGUUCACUCCUGGGUUCAGGAGGACCCCACCCACUGCAAGGCAACUAAGCCCAAGUGCCACAACUGCUGAAUCCCACACACCCUAGAUCUGUGUUCUUCAACAAGAAAGCCCACCAUAAUGGGAAGUCUGCAAACUGGAAAGAGAGAGUAGCCCUAGCUCGCUGCAACUAGAGAAACCCCUGAGCAGCAAGGAAGACCCAAUGUAGCCAAAAGAAAAUUUAGUAAAAGAAAGCAAACAAGAAAGAAGACCAGCAAGGGAGAUGGCAGAGCUUCCUUCAAAAGCCACCGCUGCUUCGAUGGUCAUCACACAGAGAUCUGGCAGGAUCCCAUAUUCUACAUGACUCUUAAAAGAAAACACAUGUGGCUUGUGAUAUCAUUGCAUAGCACAGUGUUUUUAUAAUUUUACUUACAUUAUGUUAUGUACUUUAAUCCUUUGAACUUUAAGAAACAGAAAAUUAAGUAUCUCUCCGAUUGUGCGUAAAGGAAAAUAUAUCUUGCCUCAUAUUUUGAUAAUACUUUUAUGUAACUGAUCUCAUUUAAAUCAUAUAACAACCCACUGUGGCCAAUUACAGGUCUUACCCCAACUUUACCGCUCUGAACACUGAGCCUCGGGACAUGGCUUUGAUGUGAUUUACAAGGUGGACCUGAUGUUCAUUUUCCAUUGCCACAGCGACAGGAAGGAAAGCUGAAACCAGGAGUGCCGGCGGGAGAGCUGCAGGGCAGGACGCAAUGCCAUCAAGUGACUGGAGUCUCGUUAUUAGGAAAUGUGGAAAGGUUACUGAAACUGGCUUUAGCAAUACGUGAACCGUGAACUUCCAGAUGUUCAAGCUGGUUUUAGAAAAGGCAGAGGAACCAAAGAUCAAAUUGCCAACAUCUGCUGGAUCAUCGAAAAAGCAAGAGAGUUCCAGAAAAACAUCUAUUUCUGCUUUAUUGACUAUUCCAAAGCCUUUGACUGUGUGGAUCACAAUAAAUUGUGGAAAAUUCUGAAA